CCUCGCUGAAUUUCUACCACACCCUAAGCUUGCUUGUCCUGGAGGACAGGAGUCCUGAAGUUCCUCUUCAGAUGGGCUGGCUAAUACUGGUUGAAUCUAAGACACCUGCCAGAAGUGACUCUCAGAGGACCCCAUCCAGAACUGUCGGAAACUGGACCUUUAGAAGACAGAAAUGAGGUUAUACCCUGAUCUCAAGACUGCCAGACUUCAGACUGAAACUUAUACCAACAGUUCUCCUGCGUCUCAGGCCUUCAGACUUAGACUGGAUCUACACCAUCGGAUCUCCCUACAUCGGAUCUCACUGUAGAUCUUGGAACAUCUCAGCCUCUGUAAUUAUGGGCAUAAACCCCGGCUUCAUUGAACUACUAGCAGUUCUUCCAGAAGGCCUGGACACCUCUUCCCUCCAGGAGUCUGCACAAGUGAUUCCUCCUGCCUGGAAUGCCUGGAUAGGAAAGCUCCCAUACUUCGUCUUGAUAGCCUGACUUAGAGCCUCCUGGGAACAAAUCUUGUUCCAGUUCUAUGCACAGAGUUCAGGAAUGUGCACAACCUGGAUGUGCUGAAAUUCUGGAUGAGGGGUUGAUUAUGCCUUAAUAUAUUGUGCACCACCAUGGCCAACAAGAUGACCAGGCACUUGAUGUCCCCAGGUAAGGGGUCCCUGGCAAGAAUGCUGUGCAGUUCAUAUACUGCAUGCUCUAGCCUUGUGUCUAGGUGUGGAUAUGUGUUUACUUGUGUAAGCAGCAGCAGAGUUAUGGGAAUCCAAAUUCCAUGACCCCUCAUUUGCUCAAGUCCCUUUGAAGGACUUGGAAAAAUGAAUAUUUGCUGAAAUUUCCAGCUUUUUUAAAAAAAUGUGUAAUUUGCUCUGAUUUGUUUUUUCAUUUUACAUAAAUAUUUACUUUGCACCUCAUUGUGAAUUGAUAAUGUUAUUUUUCUUAAAG